ensembl:lncRNA
CAGGGAUGUGUGCUGCUUGUGCUACUGGCGUUAUGUGGGCAAACUGCUCGCUGUCAACAUCAAUACAAAGGCUCUGCGACCCGUGAAGAACUGAGACUCCUUCUGGUCGCUAAAACAGGAUCGGGAAAGAAUGCAUCCAGAAACACCAUCCUGGGUGAUGCGAACGCUUUCAAAGAAGACGUUUCGCCUGAGUCUGUCACCGACAGCUGUCUCAGAAAAGAGGCAGAGGGCGACGACGGAAGAAAUAUCGCUGUGAUCGACACUCUGGGGCUGUCUUUUGGAUGAAAUAGAUGAAAUGGAGGAUUUCAAUGGAGGAAACCACUACACCGACGAGAUGUAUAAGGCAGCCCAGAAGAAACUCGAAGGAGAAAGGCUGAAGAGGAGAAAGGAGGAAGAACAAAGAAAAAGGGAAGAAGAGGAGAGGAUCGAAUUGAAGGAGUGGUGUAAAUUCUUCCGCCUCGCUUCCCUGGGAUUAUUUGGCACAGGAGCGUACUUUACAUCUUAUGUUCUCAUGGGGCUCGGUGGAGCCCUUGGAUAUUCUCAGUUAAAGACGCCGAGCUUGACGGUUGGGCGUCUUCUUUACUCGUUGAUACUGUGAAAACUGCGUAGGUGUAUCACCUACUCGACCUAGUGAUCAACGAGUACCGCACCGAAGCAUGCAACGGGUGCAAGACCAAUCACCCCAGCCAGAGACAACAUGAGUGUCUGCGAGUCUUGGUGUCAGGGUCAGCUCACCUGUCAGCUCACCUGUGGGCUUCUGCCCUUGGUCCACGCACCUGGUCGCCAUCACGCACCUGUGGCUCGUUACGAGAGUGUUCCAGCUCCUUUACAAGACGGCAGCUGUGUUUCUCGUCGCUGGACCGUUGCCGACCCGCAUUCCCUGGACCAACCCCUGAGUUUCCUGACUGAUUGAGUGUGCGAGGAGUGGAGUACGUCAUCGUGUUUUCUGUGGAGUGUGGAGAGGAGCGUGAAGAGUGGACGGAGUGCGUGUGGACUUUCAGCGUCUUUUCCGUGUGUUUCCCCGGACCCCGGAGCCCGGGGUCCACACACAAACAGAAACACACAAACUUCCCCCUCACCUCUGUAAAUAGAUCACCUGGUGUGCUGUAAUAAAGAUUCUUGUGUUUCCCAACUAAGAGCCUGCGCGUGUGUCCGUUCCAUCCCGCUGUGACACUUGGAGGAUGACUUUUACGCUGAACAUUAUUACAGCAUCAGGAAAAGACUCCUCACGCCGUGUUUCAUUCCUUCCAUUCAACGUCUCCUGAUCAUGUAUUCACAGCCACCGAAGGCGCUGUACAGCACCGAGCACCUGAAACACGGACAGUUUGUCAGGCCCAUCUUAUCUUAAUGACCUUGUAGUACCAUAUCACCCUAUUAGAGCACUUCGCUCUCGCUCUGCAGGCCUACUUGUUGUUCCUAGAGUAUUUAAAAGUAGAAUGGGAGGCAGAGCCUUCAGUUUUCAGGCCCCUCUUCUGUGGAACCAGCUUCCAGUUUGGAUUCAGGAGACAGACACUAGCUCUACUUUCAAGAUUAGGCUUCAAACUUUCCUUUUUGCUAAAGCAUAUAGUUAGGGCUGGACCAGGUGACCCUGAAUUGUCCCUUAGUUAUGCUGCAAUAGACGUAGGCUGCCGGGGGAUUCCCAUGAUGCAUUGAGUUUUUCCUUUCCAGUCACCUUUCUCACUAACUAUGUAUUAACAGACCUCUCUGCAUUGAAUCAUGUCUGUUAUUAAUCUCUGUCUCUCUUCCACAGCAUGUCUUUUAUCCUGUCUUCCUUCUCUCACCCCAACCAAUCACAGCAGAUGGCCCCGCCCCUCCCUGAGCCUGGUUCUGCCAGAGGUUUCUACCUGUUAAAAGGGAGUUUUUCCUUCCCACUGUCACCAAAGUGCUUGCUCACAGGGGGUCAUAUGAUUGUUGGGUUUUUCUCUGUAUCUAUGAAGCGCCUUGAGGCGACUUAUGUUGUGAUUUGGCGCUAUAUAAAUAAAAUUGAAUUGAAUUGAAUUGAAUUUGUUGAUACUGUAAUCAAAAAUACAGCCCCGGGGGGGGGGGGGGGGCAUUUUAAAAAUGCACCCUCCCUAUUGCGCAUGUCCCUAAAAGGUAUGGCCUCCCAGAUUGCCUCAGUUGUAUCGUG